rnacentral:rRNA from 1 species
CCCUUAGAUGUUCUGGGCCGCACGCGUGCUACACUGACCGGCGCAACAAGUUUCUUUCCUUGGCUCGAUAGGCCUGGGUAAUCUUUGAACGCCGGUCGUGAUGGGGAUAGAUCCUUGCAAUUUUUGAUCUUCGACGAGGAAUUCCUAGUAAAUGCGAGUCAUCAUCUCGCGUUGAUUACGUCCCUGCCCUUUGUACACACCGCCCGUCGCACCUACCGAUUGAAUGGUCCGGUGAAGCCUCGGGAUUGCGAAUGCUUCGUGCGGACGCGAGAACUUGGCUAAACCUUACCAUUUAGAGGAAGGUGAAGUCGUAACA